ensembl:lncRNA
UGCCUCUGGCAGUGAACAGAAGAAAGCAGCCAAGGGUUCACUCCCCCGAGCCAGCACGCAAGGGUGUCCGUGCAGCUGGACUUUCAGGUGUGUCACGCUGGGGCUGAGGCCUCCGGAGGGACUCCUAGAAGGGAGGCGUGCGUGUAAAGCGCCAUCCCUCAGCAGCCCACGAUCUCGGACGGUUUGCCACUGUGGCCAGUGUUUUAUUGAUGCUUCUGAGGCCAUAGAGCACGCACGGGGAAGUUCUGAGCACACGGAGGACAAGCCAGGGCGGUGCUGUGUGGCCGCAGUCAACCCUAAGUAGGGGUCCGAGUGGGGGACGGUCGCUAACACCUCGAUUCCUCAUGUCUGUGUUUCUGCAGCUUGGAGCUUGGAGAGUGUGUGUGAGAGCGACCUCGCUGACAGCAACCUCGCAGAAAGUGAUCGAGGUAAGAACAGCUCUCAGGUAGGAGCCAGUGGGAGAGGGUUCCCGGGACACUUGGGUUAGGCCUGCUGCUUGGAGGGUGGGGCGGGUGAGUGUGCAAUUGCAAAAGAGAAAGAAAUUGGUGUAAAGAUGUUCGUCGCCUAUGUUCCUAAGGAGGGGGAGCAGGUAUGAGAUGCCCGAAUGUUGGCAUCUGUGCUCACGUUGUGUUGGCGGGCCUCAGUCCCUGGAGCAGAGGGAAGGCCUGGGCACCUGGAGGAAAAACCCGGGUGAUGCUGUGUGACCCGCCGUCACCUCGGGGAAGCCGGGGAAACGGGAGGGCCACUCCUUCUCACGCCUCGCUUCCCCGCGGUGUGUUUCUACAGACUCGGUGGCGGAGCGCACCGACUGCCGCCAGGAUGAGGAGGCUGCAGGAACUCACGACGACGAUGUUGUGGAGGCCGGUGGGAGUGAGAAGACUGAGGCAAAGCCCCGGGCUGGGGGACAUGAGGACGAGGCGGCCCCAGUACCUGAGGUGGAGGUGGAGGAGGAGGCGGGCCAGCCCCGUGAAAAUGGCCAGGAGGAGUCCUUAGCCAUCGCCUGGGCUGAGCCGGAAGACGAGCCUGGCCCCAAGGUGGACGGGGCGGACGAUGAAAUCUGUGAGUAUUCUGGAGCCCGGCUGUGCUGAGGAGAAGUCCAGGUGUUGAGGAAAUGGGGGGGGGGCCCGCGAGGGAGGCGGGGUGGGGGGGCUCUCCUGCUCCUUUGGUUGCAGAGACACCCUGAUUCUGGGUUCCUCCUGGGAAUGAGGGUGAAGGAUGGGGUGAAAGAGACGGACUUCCCAAGAAGGGCCACCCCAGGUUCUAGGGUCCCUGGACGAAAGGAGGCUCUUUGUAUGGCGUGGGUAGGUGUCGGGGGACACGGCCGGGGGGGGGAGGGUGGUGCGUGUGAGGGCCUGCUGGUGUGAUUGGCAAUCAGUGUGAGUGGGUGUGUGCUGUGGGGAGCUGUUUGUGGCUUAGCACCACACAGCUGUCCAGCUUCUAAUUGAGGAGUCUCACGAUGACCGCAGGCUAACCGUCCAUUCCCUCGUUCUGCCCGCACCGGCUGGGAGCAAGGGUUUGGGGGAAAGGCAUUGCUUCCUCUGUUGGUCUUUCUUUUCCUUUUCGCUUCCCUCUCUGCCUUGUGUGGACUUUGAUACCGUUGUUUCAAACACGUGCCAGGGACUCGAGCCCCUUCAGGCUGUGAGUGUCCCGAGGAGUGUUGUGAACGCUGUGCUCCACCCGCACCUCCUGCCCACUCUGGGCAGCCACCCUUCCAGCCUCUGCUCAGGAGUGGUGUGUCAGACACUUGAUGCGCAUGACAUCAGAGAGUCUUUGUCCUUCUGUGCCUGACUUGCUUCGCUUGAAAUGCUGUCCUCCAGCGAGUUCCUGUCGAGGCUCAGUGGUCAUGAACCCGAGUGGUAUCUCUGAGGAGGCGGGUUCGACCCUUGGCCUUGCUCAGUGGGGGAAGAAUCCAGCGUUGCGGUGAGCUGCCUGCGGCAGAGGUCCCAGACGCGGCUGGUAUCCAGCUUUGCUGCAGCUGGGGUGUAGGCCGGUGGCUACAGCUCUGAUUUGCCGCCUCGCCUGGGAAUUUCCGUA